UUCCCUUUUAUUGUGGUGAGCUUCUCCUGC
rnacentral:piRNA from 1 species